ACAUUGGGCAUAUUUAUAAAGUAAAUUAUGUUUUUGGUCCCGCCAACCUAUUUAGCUUUUAUGGUUUGGAUCCCUUAACUUUUCAAAGGGUGUUUGGGUUGGGUCGCUCCUUGACGGUGAUGGGUGCUGAUCACAAUGGUUGGGUUUGGUGGCUAUGGCGGCAUGACGGUGGUGGUGGCUUGGGUGGCGGCGGCAUGCUGAAGAGAUGGUGCAAGUGCUAUUGUUUGGUUAUGUUUGGGUAUGGUUUCAGAUCUAGAUCCUUCUUUGAGCAGUUGCUUCUUCAGUUCUCACAAAUUUAGCGUGUUUAAUGAUUAUGUGAACAAGAAGUAUCUCAUUCAUCUGGUUUCAGUUAUAGUUCCGUAGAUUUUUUAAA